rnacentral:rRNA from 1 species
AUACGGAGGGUCCGAGCGUUAUCCGGAAUCAUUGGGUUUAAAGGGUCCGUAGGCGGGAAUCUAAGUCAGUGGUGAAAUCUUGCAGCUCAACUGUAAAAUUGCCAUUGAUACUGGAUUUCUUGAAUUAGUGUGAAGUGGUUAGAAUGUGUAGUGUGGCGGUGAAAUGCAUAGAUAUUACACAGAAUACCAAUUGCGAAGGCAGAUCACUAACACUAUAUUGACGCUAAGGGACGAAAGCGUGGGGAGCGAACAGGAUUAGAAACCCGGGUAGUCC